rnacentral:rRNA from 1 species
GACGAAGGAUGCAAGCGUUAUCCGGAUUCAUUGGGUUUAAAGGGUGCGCAGGCGGACUGAUAAGUCAGUGGUGAAAUCUCUUUGCUUAACAAAGAAACUGCCAUUGAUACUGUCGGUCUAGAGUAUAGAUGACGUUGGCGGAAUAUGACAUGUAGUGGUGAAAUACUUUAGAUAUGUCAUAGAACACCGAUUGCGAAGGCAGCUAACGAAACUAUAACUGACGCUGAGGCACGAAAGUGCGGGGAUCAAACAGG